UCUAUAUAAAUAUAUGUAUUAUCUUUAUUUUUAUUAUUUUUUAUUUAUUCUUAAAUUAAAUCUGAACCGUCCGAUCAAACGAUCGGACAGUCCGAGUUUCAGUCAACUAAUCAACCACAAACAACUUUUUCUCAUCCCAAAGAACCAAAUACGCGUCCUUUCUCCAUCAGAUCCGCGUGAUCCAUCUUCUCAAGAGGGCAAAGUUAUGUCUCAUUCAUCUUUCCAAAAAAAGAACGACAACACUUCCCCUUCUCUUCCCCAUCUCCUUUCUCUCCCCCAAAUCGGAGUGGCUAGCGGCCAAAGCUGCCGCAACCCUACCGCCAGCCUACCAAGAUUUGCCCCUUCUCAGCUAAGUCCAACUCGUGACUCCACGAAACCAAAAAAACAGCCCCAAAUUAGUGAAUAACGGGAAGAUAGGUUCAAAUAGCCAUUAAAAUCUCUGAAAAAGCUGAGGAUAUGGGAAAAAAGGAGGUCCUUUUCGGAAUCAAAUUUCAAACACUCAUCCUUCCCAUGUUUUCUUAAAAUUGCUGUUUCGAAUCCGCAAUUGGGGUCGAGAUUUCAGGCUAUAAAUAACCAAAUCCCGUCCCCAUGAGCAGCAGCAGAGAGAGGUCGAAAAAGGGAAAAAAGGGCUGGAAACAAGCUUCAAAAAUCGGUAUGGAAAAAGAAGAGUGAAGAAAAAAAAUCAAUGAGUAAGUUUUUGGAAACAUAGUAAAGGGGGUUUCAGAAACCAAAAGUUUCUUUUUUUCAAUUUUUGGUACGAAUUCGGAGUUUCGGAUUGAGUUUUGUCAUUGGAACCUUGACGUUAGGCCCGAGUUUUCUGCCCGAAAAAAGUUUCAAUUGAAACUCGUCUUGAUCCAAUUGUCGGGUCAAACGCUACUAGGAUUGCAGAGCUUUGGAGUCCCGCAAAUUAGAAGCCCAAAACUCCUAAACAGAGUCGAGGAUCCCUUAGCCGCUUUUUCCUUUAAUUUAUUUAUAUUAUGCUACACUUUUCUUUAGAAUGAUAACUAACUUUAUUUUAUUAUAAACUUUGUGUAGGAUAACUUGAUUUGGUUGUUGCUCUAUAAUUACUUUGUUAUGUGUCGAUCUUUUAUAAUAGGAUAGCGUUCUCAUGUUGUCUCGAUUAA